rnacentral:lncRNA from 1 species
AACACCCCUAAAACAUAAACAUGUCCCAACAACACACGAACAUAAACUCGCCUAAAACAACAACGCAAACAAUAAAUAAAAACACUCAACAAAGACAUAUGUCUAAGAUAUUACAACAAGCAAAACAGUAUCAUCUGGUGAAGACAUCAUAACUCUAACAUCAGUGUCAUCUUUAACUCGUCCACACAUACGCUGCAUAACAUUAUUGUCAUCUGCAAUUGAGAUAUGUGAACAAUCA